ACUCAUGACCCUCACAGUGGGAUGGGGGAGAGAAUGGCAAGGGUAAAUGUGAGAAAACACAUAGGUUGAGAUAAAGACAGUUUAAUAGGCAAAGCAAAAGCUGCACACGCAAGCAAAGCAAAACAAGGAAUUCAUCAGCAUGCAG